rnacentral:pre_miRNA from 1 species
UUAUGAGGUUUUCUACUCAUUGUCAACUGGGUUUAAGUUGGAAAUUCAUGAUUUCUCAUAUCAAAGCUAGGUUGGUCCAAUAUUAGAAAUUAUGGACUUCCAACUUAAAAUCAGUUGGCAAUUUUUUUGGACUAUUUCUCAU